GAAAGGUUAAGCAACUUUGCCAAGGUCACACAGCUGGGCCUGAUGAGUGGUUGCCAGGCAGACUGGUGCCGGAGGCCAGGGUGACCCCCAUCUGCUGACUAAGUGGGGAGCAACCAUCCCUCCCCAACACCAUGGUGCCUUCAGGCAGUUUCCCACCUGGGAGAAAGUUUGGGGUCCUGGCCUUCACCCCGUUGGAAGGAUUGCAAAGGUGGGUCCCAAGGCUGGCAGGAUUCCCAUCAAAUGGGGCUGAUGCGAGAGGAGGUGGCACCUCUGGAAGCUGGGGCACAAGUCCUGCGAGGCACCCUGCGCUCACCGCAUUUCCAGUUUUGGGUCAAGGAACAUGGAGGAAGGUCAGCUGGGGGUGCACUGGCAGAGAGCUGACGGGCUAAACCGUUCCCUCAGCGUAUCGGGAAACAGGGACGCAGGGUUUGAGGAAGGAACCGGGCUGCCCUCAGCUUCCUAUCCUUCCCGGUUUGAGCGGCUCAUGGGGUUCCCCAUCACUACCCCACCCCUCCGCAACCUUCAGACAGGCUGGAUCAAUCCCCGCCCCUAACCCCCAGCUGCUGGGACUUCUCCUGGCCAGCCAGCCCACCCCUCACCCUGAGGAAAGCUGUGCCCAAUGACCAGCAGAGCCCCCCACCCCACUCCAGGCUAGUGGGAGAAUUGCAGAACCAGGCAUCACACAUCAGCCUGCCACCCUGCAGGUGCUCAGACAGCACCUCUGGUCUGACGCCCACCUGGGGGCACCACCGCAGCGUCCCUGGAGGGGUCUUAGCUGAGAUUCAGGCUCCAGGACAUAUGACUCAUCCCCACCCGUCUCUCACUGGCUUGGAGAGUGACCAGCAGCACCAUCUCUUUCGAGCAGAGCCUGCCAUCUUCCCCAACGCCAUGCGGGGAGCCCUCGCCCCCAAGUAGAAAACAGAAAAUUCUCCCUCUAUAGUCAGGCAAGUCAUGGAAAAAACCUUUCAUCUGAAAUACCAGGUAAUUGAAACAGGUUUUGUCCUCAAACUGCAACCCCUGCCUCAAGUCACUACGACCUGGGGGGGAGCGUGGAAGAAACCUCAGGACGCACUUGUCCCGGCGAACUGCGUGGCGGAGCAGGAGGCCCAGGAAACGGCCGGCGGCGGGCAAGUCCCCGACGGCGCCUCCCGGCCCAGCCGGCCCACAGGGCGCCCGGAGCGCGCAGUCUGCCGACUCGGGUCACGAGGCUGUGCAGCGGCUCGGCGAGGGCGCCCGCACUGGGCUGCGCGCCCAAGACCCCGGAGGAGGGCCCCAGGCGUGCGCUCCGCACCUGCUCCGGCCUCGGCGGGUCGGGGUGUCCGCAGUUGUGCUGCGCGCUCCCUGCUCCGAGCCCUGCGCGACGCUGGAGGCGGCCCCUGCGAAAGGGACCGAGGGCGACACGGACCGAGGAGAGUGCCCACGGGGAAGCGAGCGUUCUGUGAUGGCAACUCCUGGGUCUGGCAGGCGGUAGUAGCAGGGGACGCCGAGAAGCAGGCGAUGCGCUCCCGGGUCCCCGCCGCCCCUCCCUAUCCCCGUUCGGACCUCCAGCUCCCUCCACCUCGGCGGUGCCCUCACCCCAGGUCGUGGGUCCGCGCCACUAGUGGAGCCAGGCUCCAGAAAGAGGCCGUCACCAGGUCCCCUCUGAUUGGAUGGCCGCGAAGUCCCAGCGGGCGCGUCCGCACCUUAAAACCGGAGCCGGCGAGUGGGAGCUAGAGCCCGCCCCCGGGCCAGCCCUGCGCGCGGCAGCGGGGAGUACGGAGAGCGGCGGGGGGAGAAAGAGAGGAGGAGGAAGGAGGAGAUGGCCGAGGUGGAGGAGGGCGGGGGGGAGAAGAGGACGGAGAGGAGGAGUCGACCAGGAGGUGGGGCCCAGGCGGGCCAGAGAGGCCCCGCGCGCGGAGGCUCGGGGACCGACAGCCAGCCAGACGGACGCGCGGAGCCGGCAGCGGCACCGCGGCGGCAGCGGCCGGCUCGGGCGGGCCUCGGGGGCGGCGCGGGCACGGCCGCAUGAGCGCCCGCCCGCCCAGCCAGCCCUUGGGCCCCGGCGGCGCGACCAUGGCCGAGCUCAAGUCGCUGUCCGGGGACGCGUAUCUGGCGCUGAGCCACGGCUACCCGGCGGCGGCGGCGGCGGCAGGCCUUGCCUACGGGGCGGCCCGGGGGCCCGAGGCGGCCCGCGGCUACGGUGCGCCGGGUCCGGGCGGCGACCUCCCCGAGGCGCCCGGGCCCCGUGGUGCGGGCGCGGCGGCCGAGAGCAGCGGCGAGCAGAGCGGCGACGAGGACGACGCCUUCGAGCAGCGGCGGGCGGCGGGCCGGGCCGGGGGGCGCGGCGGACGGGCGGCGGCGGCCCCGGGAGCAGCGCUCGCUGCGGCUGAGCAUCAACGCGCGCGAGCGGCGGCGUAUGCACGACCUGAACGACGCGCUGGACGGGCUGCGCGCCGUCAUUCCCUACGCGCACAGCCCGUCGGUGCGCAAGCUGUCUAAGAUCGCCACGCUGCUGCUCGCCAAGAACUACAUCCUCAUGCAGGCGCAGGCCCUGGACGAGAUGCGGCGCCUCGUGGCCUUCCUCAACCAGGGCCCCGGCUUGGCCACGCCCGUGGCCGCCGCGCCCUUGACGCCCUUCGGCCAGGCCGCCGUGUACCCUUUCUCAGCGGCCGCCGCGCUGCCCUGCCCAGACAAGUGCGCCUCCUUCUCCGGGACGCCCUCGGCGCUUUGCAAACACUGUAACGAGAAGCCGUAAGGGUCGCGGGCGGCCCCCGCCUUCUGCGCACGUCCUCCAUUUUACAUUGCCCCCAAUGACUGUGUCACCCUGCCCCCACCGGACCCCGCCAACUGGGAGAAGGCGGCCCGACCUCCCUUCCAGCCCUUGAACAGAUGGCGGCUGGGGGAAGCGCAAAGCCUGUCUCGGCACUGGAUCGAACCGGAGAGCGGGGACGCUGGAAUCCAUGCCGGGGAGCCCGCAGCGCCCACCCUCCCGACGCCCCCAGUUAUCGAGCCCGGGGACAGGUCGGGGGUGACCAACAGUGGUGGUCCGGGCACCGCCGCUCACCCUCAAAAAGAAAACCAGGGCCGCAGCGGAAGCGAAGACUAGCACGAUCCCGAACAGGGGGUCUUGCCUGGCGCCUGCCCCGGGCUCGCGGAGCGCGAGGACAGAGCGUAGCCGGGCUUGGCGGGUCGUGGCCCUCGCCUUCGGGCGCCUCCUCGGCCCGGGUUGGCCGCUGUGGCCAGACUGCAGGGCCGCACUCUGCGUGGGCGUGUCCCUGAGGAUGCGCGGCGCCCGGCGCCUCCGGCCUCUGCCGGCUCCACGACCCCUGCGCGCCCGCAGCCCCGCAGCCGAGCGCUCCGACGCACCCCGACUCCGCCCUGCAACUGUCGUUUGCAGCGGAACUGGACUUUGGACGCAAGAAGCCCCGAGGAGUGGCUUUCCGGCUUUCCCAAGUCUGAGUUUGUGAUGUUUAUUUACUUGUCUGCCUAGAGGCGCUUACCUCUAGAGGUAGAUGGACCAACGCCAGCUGCCUCCAAGUCUGCGGAAUUUGUCCCCUGAACAGCCCUGGACGACUCAGCCGCAGCGCUCCGCCAGGACAUCCUCGCCCGGGCGCGGCCCGGGUGGAGCUGGAUGGAGACUGCGGCUCGCCCUCUGCUUAACGGCGGCUGCACGGAGAAGGGGUCCUCACAGCCCGCGCCCUCACUUGGCCCUGGGAUGUCAGGGGAGGGCCCGGUCUAGCCCCUCCCCGCCAACCGGCCGCACGUUUCCGGGGAGGAGGCCGGGCCACCGGUUGGGAACGUCAAAAGAAGAGGCACCUUGUCGUAAAGGACGAACACUGUUUUCCUAAGAUGAUCGGUGAGAUGCGCAAACCGUCAUUCUGGCCACAGCCUGGCCUCACCCUCGAGGCUGAGCGCGCUCCGAUGGAAGCUCCGUGCAGAGGCUCCGAGCCCUGGUUAAUCCAGCAGAGAAUGAUUACAGCAAUUUUAUCCUGUGAAUUUGCCGGUGAUGCGUUUUCAGUCUUUAAUCCCUUUUGGCAUCCCAUUUGAAGGGACGGACAUAGAGGGAUUUACAACGUAUUAAAUCGUUUCUCCAACAAUUACCUCUUUGGAUUCAUAACCCUGGAUGUUGUGUUCCAAAAGUCUGUUCCAUAAAAUUAGAAAGUUAAUGCACAUUUGCAAAAUAACCCCAAAGGAGCAGAACCCACGUUACCAUAAGAGCAGAAAGGCUCUCAAAGUUACCUUUGAUUCAGCGUUUUCCCAGGUUUAAAAAGUGAUUUAUGCUCGUUUUCCUGGCUUGAGUGCCUGAGGCGUGCGUAUUCAUAUAAAUGUAUAAAAGCUAUUCUGAAGCAUGGCUCUCUGAGUGGGAAGACAGCCAGAAUCAUGCCGGAGGUUCCAGCGGAGGGGAGCGCUCGUUAAGGUGCAUGUGUGGAGGGGUCUCUGAAUAAACCGACGUGUCUGCUCCUCUGUGGUCGGCCUGUGGAGUCGGCUGGCUAUCGCCUGGCUGUGGUCAGGAUGCAAAGGGAAGCUGCUUUCUGACCCCAGAUGCCUCCGUCUGCGUUUCUUGGAGGCACAGCCACCAGAAUGCAAUGCAAAGCCAUGCGUGGACCUGGCCAUGGCUUCUGUCCCCAGUGACACUCAGUGCCCACCCCACCCCAUGCCGGUCAGCCUGACCACAUGGUGGUGCCUCCGGGGAUGAGAGCAGGAUCCUAGCUCAAGGGUUUCAGAGGAGCAGCUCGCCUGCAUGUUAGAAAUGGCCGAGCCUUCCUGGCCAGCCUUCUUUCGCCUCCAAGCCCCCUUUUGUCU
ensembl:lncRNA